GGCUGAUGUAACGUGAGUCUUAACAGAGACCUGGGUGCAAGUCGUAUAAUUAGCUUGGUAACAAGCUAAUGUAGCCUCACCCGGCUCAGUGUAGUUGCGCUAAUGUGCCUCCGCGCUGUACGAGAGGGCAGGUAUUUACAAAGGAAAACGUGCAGGUGGCGCCAGUAAAUGCGGACUUUCUGAGGCAGCUAAAACCCAAUUUUACAUAACGUUAACAUAAACCACAUUACCUUGAGGUUGUGGUGUAAUCCAGAAAUUGAGACCGGGGAAACCUUGUAGCUAAUGUAAGCAUGCGCAAAAUUGCUAAUAAGCAGCUAACGUUACAUCACUUUGAGUUAGAACAUUUAACCGGCAGUCCCAUCCGCCAAAAUCUUCGGUAUGCUAACGUUAGACAUGCUAACUGGACACCAACAUUACAGAAAUGUAAGCUAACGUUGACAUACUUGCCAGUAAAGGUAUCUCGAGUAACUACCGUACCGGAGCUCUUCUGUGCUGCACGUCAACACUUUGAGACGAACAAGGAGCAUCAAUCUAACGUAAAUGCUUUUCAAUGUAUGUUACAUCUUUAGUUUCAAUGAGCAUGCAUCUAAAAUUGAAUGAAUAAUAUUCCCCAAAUUCCAAUUAACUACACUUCCGGCUGUUACAGAGGGGAAACGCUGUAAUCUGUGAACUUUGAACAGUUCAUAUAUUGUUCAUAGUUUGUAGUUAAAGUUGUAAAAAUAACAACGUGGGGGUACCGACAGGGGGGGGUAUCGACUUUGGGGCACCCCUCCGUCGACCGGACCGUUCGGACCGUCGAGACAAGAGGGCUCGAAAGGGAUGUUUAAAAAUUUGGAUUCAAGAGUUUAAACAUUUCCGACUUGACUGGCCUUGGCGGCCUGAGCCGAAUUUUUGGUUUCCAUUGGGACAAAACUCAAAAAUCGUUCUUUAUUGAUUCUUUAAAGCCUUUGCUUUCAAGAUCAAGAUGAAAGGGUCAUAGAAAAAGAAACGGUACAGCAAAGUGUUUUAUGCACCAUGUGAAGUGGAUGAGCUCCAUCAAUACAAAUACACCGUCCACACACACGUUUACUUUAAAGGCCCAUUUCUAUAUUCUAGAUACCUUCACUGUAAACAUAGACAGGUGACAUCAGGAUUUCUCCAUGUUCCAUGUCCGUGUUCCAAAUUCCAUGCUCCAUGUUCCAUGCUCCAUGUUCCGUGUUCUAUGUUCCAUGUUCCGUGUUCUGUGCUCCAUGUUCCGUGUUCUAUGCUCCAUUCCCCACAGUAUAAGAAACACAGUCUGAGGCACAUUUAGUCAGUUAGUUUCAAACCUCACAUCUGCACACACUGAAGUUUUCCGGACAGAAAACUGCAGAAAGCGAUCGUCACGCCUCAGGAGUCUGAAGAGGAGAUGAAGACGCGUUUUGCUGCACUCAACAGAGCUCGAGACCAACAGGACGUCAUCAGGAAGCCAUCAGGACGUCACGCCAUCAGGACGCCAUCAGGACGUCACGCCAUCAGGACGCCAUCAGGAUGCCACGCCAUCAGGAUGUGCUGAGAGUCGCCCCCUCAGGAGCAGCGCCAGAUCUACGCAUGACUCAGAUAAGCGCACAACACACACACACACACAUACUCAGAGACAAACUAAUAUUUAGAUGUAGGAUUCAGGAAUCAGGAAACAUUUAUUAGCCAAAAUAUCUCAAACAUAAAAGGAAUUUGUCUUGGCGGUUAGUGCGCGACAGUAGACAGACAGGACAACAGUGCACAAGUAAUAAAAUAAAGUGGAAUGAAAUGCUAAUGCAAUGGGUUAGUAGAAUAAGGCUAAGGCUAUGGGUUCGUAUAAAACAAGGGAAUAAAGUUAAAAAAAUGUAAAUAUUAAAAAGUUAAAAAGAAAAAUAUUAAGCAUAAAGUGCACUAACGAACAAGUAACAGACAAGAGACGAAGUGACUGUACACAAAGACACACUAAUAUUUAAUUGUUGACAUAGACAUAUUAAUAUUUCGAUGUACACAUAGAUCAUUAAUAUUUCGAUGUACACAUAGGCACACUACCUGUAAGAGGCGAUUUAUGAUGUAUGGCAGCAUCUGAUUGAUGGGCGGGUCAGCCUAUAUAGGGUAGGAACCUUUGGGGGCUCGGCAGGUGUUUCCAGCCGGUAAAAGACAAACAGUUUUGACUUUGAAUGUAGAGGCGAAGCCAACGCUUUAAGCCACUGAGGCAUUUUGUCCGGAAACCCUCGUUGACGCGCCGCUGUUGUCCCAUGACGGAUGAAUGAGAGUCUUGUAGCCUUUGUGUUGUUGUAAACAAGUCCACUUAUUUGCCAAUUUUACUCCUGUCACACGUUUACCAUACAUCAUGUGGUACAUGGGAGUGUGGAGGGGGAGAGAGAGGAGUGAUUGAAUAGAUGAAUGAAAUGUGUUGAGAAAUGUACUUUAAGAAAACAGUUUUGGAAGUAUGUUGUAAGGAGGGCAGACAGACCUAAUAGUUGAGUCUGAGAGGUUAACAUAAACUCACAGACGCAUUAACUCCGGAAGGUUAGCAUAAACUUUCGGCAUAAAUUAAUUCUGCGAGGCUAACAUAAGCUCGUGGACAAAAAAAAAAUAAUUUCUGAAAGGUUAGUAUAAACUUUCAGCAUAAAUUAAUUCUGCGAGGCUAACAUAAGCUCGUGGACAAAAAAAAAAAAUUUCUGAAAGGUUAGUAUAAACUUUCAGCAUACAUAGAUUCUGCGAGGCUAACAUAAGCUCGUGGACACAAACAUUUUCUCUGGAAGGUUAGUAUAAACUUUCAGAACAUAGCUGUCUGCUCAGGUAAAAUACAUACGAUCUGGUUGACUGUUGUUUAAUGGAAGGUGAAUUUGAUGAAGAAGAGGAGGACGGCGGCUGGGAGUCAGCCUUAGAUCAUAAAUAUUUAGACACACAUAGACACAUUCAUAUUUCGAUGUACACAUAGACACACUAAUAUUUCGAUGUACACAUAGAUCAUUCAUAUUUCGAUGUACACAUAGACGCAC
ensembl:lncRNA